CAGUCGCCGCGGGAAUACGUAGGGUGCGAGCGUUAAUCGGAAUUACCGGGCGUAAAGCGUGCGCAGGCGGUUGUGUAAGACAGGUGUGAAAUCCCCGGGCUUAACCUGGGAACUGCGCUUGUGACUGCACAGCUAGAGUAUGGCAGAGGGGGGUGGAAUUCCACGUGUAGCAGUGAAAUGCGUAGAGAUGUGGAGGAACACCGAUGGCGAAGGCAGCCCCCUGGGCCAAUACUGACGCUCAUGCACGAAAGCGUGGGGAGCAAACAGGAUUAGAUACCCGCGUAGUCCCUGUCUCUUAUAC
rnacentral:rRNA from 1 species